rnacentral:rRNA from 1 species
CCAUCGGUUGGAUUUUCCAGCACCCUUAUGUGAUAUCGGUAAGAUCAUACUUGGGGCUUUGCUGUCGCUGAGCUUCCUAAAUUUUCUUCAAGUCCAACCCAGUCUGGUCGCCACUUUAUUUACAUGGUCUUGUUCUUGCGAGGGAUUAUUUUUAUCACGAUUGAUGAACUAUAUGACUGGAUCCCAGCCCCCAUUAUUCUUACUGCUGUUUCCUACUUCUGUAAUUAACCUUUACUAAGUACUGUUAGGUCUUUAGCAUAACACUAAAUAGUUAAGCUAAUAAGGAUACCACUAGAUGACUGACCCUGUAAUUAACCUUAUUCAGUUUAUGAACAUAUAUGUACGCUACAGAGCAUGAAAUUGGGAAAAUACAAAUAUAAUUGGUGGUUGGUUCACCAUUUAAAAUUUUGAUCCACCAAUUGUGUCUCAGUGAUUUCUACUUGAGCUAAGACCAUGCCAAUAAUUUUGGAACGAGGGAGUACUUAUUUGUUGUUGUGUAUUUGAUGGUUUGAUAAAAAUAUCAUGAAGGUUAAAUCGAGCGUGGUUUUGAUAUAUUUUUGUUACAAGAUAUUACAUCGGCUUUCUGGUUUGGAAAUACUUAUAAUCGAUUUCUUCUAACUGCAUGUGAGCCCACACUUUUGUAGACUACUUAGGAUAGAGAUGAUAUGAAUGUGUGCAACAAAGUUCUUUACUCGGGAAUGGCUUGGUAGGUCUCUCGACUAUUCGGUUUCAUCUGUAGGAUUAAAAUUUCUUCAACUUGCUCUCCUCCCACCUUCAAUUUCUUUAAAAUCGUUGUAUUGGCAAGUAGAAACAGUAGCUUGUUUGAAUUAUGUAAAGUUCAUCCAUGUAACAGUUGCCUCUUAAAGACUGCUUACAAAGUGCAAAUUUGAUAUAAUUUUGCUGAUGACGCAAAAUGAUCGUACACUGAAACUGAAGCCUUUGGAAAUUGAAACACAAACCUUACUUAAGAGCAGGCAAAGGUGCAGAGCCAACGGCAUGCUCUUGGAUCAAUAUUCUACAGGUGAUGUUGUUGCCUGCUCUUCUAAACUGCCGCUUGUUUAUCAUUUGCUGUUUUGCUUAUCAAGGAGGGUAACUACUGGAAGCAGUUGGCAAGGCAAGCAUUCAAUGGAUCUCAAAGCGUUGAUCCUGAAGGAAGGUAACUACUCAAAGGUAUGCACAUAUUCAUGUUGGAGCAGUUAAGUUUGCAAGGAUCUGCUGUUGGAGGGCAUGGUAUGUGCUCUCAAGACAAACGGAGAGAGUGGUUCGAAUCCACCUCAGAACGGGUCUAGGCCGCUUUCCUUGACUUUGAGUUGGAUCUCAUUCUUCUUCCCUGCCCCCCGGCCUCUCACUUCGUUUCGUUCUUCCUCUGUACCCUCGCUUGAAUGAAGGUGAACCAACCCCUUGGACUGCUGCGAAAAACACCAUCAGAUUUCAAAGUAGCCCGGUCUAAUUCAAAAAUUUCCACUAACGCAAGAGGGAUUCCUGCGACUAACGCUAGAGCAAAGGGAAAGGACAAUGAAGCAGCAAUAAACAGAUUGAAGAGCUAUUAGUAUAGCAAGUAUUAAUUCAACAAUUAGUUAGUUUGGGAAGACUGCUUUGCCUGGAUUGAUGGCGAGCCUGGUUCUUUAUGAUCCGGUGACAUCUUUUGGCCUAUUGAGGAACUGGACAUGAUUUAUAUAGCGAAGUUAAGUGUAUGGAUGACAACUUCCUCUCAUACCUCUUUUGGCCUAUUGAGGAACUGGACAUGAUUUAUAUAGCGAAGUUAAGUGUAUGGAUGACUACUUCCUCUGAUACAUGUUAUCUGUAUAUUUUAUAUACAUGGCUUUUGUGUUCUGUCAUGUGCGUUCCUGCUGCAGACUUUUCUAGGAAAUUCACCAUGGGAAUUUAAAUAAUGGUUCCCUGCCCAUCAGUUUACUUUCUUGCAUUUUAUAGGCCACACUUUUCGUAUUUUGUUAAAGAAGUGAACUCAUUCCUAAACUUCCACCGUAUAUACAUUAACACUGGGAUACUGUUCCAACCCAGCAAUACUCUGAUCCUUCAUCGUUUUCUGAAAAAAAAAACUAUGAGUUCUGUGUCAGUGUAGUACUAUAUCCCACUGAUGAUGCUUCUGUGUAACACGUUUAUCUAUUUGGUUGCAUGCCUUGAAUGAGUAGUAUAUUGAGCACCCCGAGAUAACCAUCGAGAAGUCUGGUGGAAUUUUAAAUGAUUUAUUAAGCGACCUUUUAUGAUAGACCAUUGUAUGAGAGCAUGUUUUAGUACUACUUGAGCGAGUUAGAAUGUACUAGCAAACAUGCCCGUGCGUUGCAACGGAAGAAAACCUAAACUAUGUGCCUAUGGUUUCAGCCUUUUAAUAUCACUUGACGCCAACAGUGGCUAUGAUCAGAAGGAUAGAUGGAAAUGCAUACUUAGUUUUUAUUUGCCAUCGCUUUGUGAUAACUGGAAGGUUAUCCAGGCACAAUGUGCACAUGAAAUGCACUGCUAAUUCAGUUCGAAUCAAAACAUGAUUUUUCAGCAAAAAAUCAUGUUUAUGUAUCAGUGAUAUGUUUAUGUAUAUAUCAUGGCUGAGGAGCCUAACAAACCCGGACGAAGGUAGUAGUUGGCAUCCAGCCAUAAACAUAUAACUGGAUAUAAGUAAUUUUAAUUAUUAUUUUUUGACAUGCCCUGGCUAUAGUAGAUAACAUAAGACCCAGGAUCCAAUAGUUAGCCUUGAACAAAUUAAGAGUCCAAGUUGCCAAAUCAAAAUCUGCUCAUUUGCACACGUGUACAUAGUUUGAAGAUGCCAUAACUCAUACUCCUAUAAAGUAAAUAGUAAGUACUAAGUAGUAGAUUAUAUUGUCCUCAAGGGUCUUGCUUGGGAGGAUUAUUAAGAAAAAUGUCAAAAGGGGAAACGUAACUAACCUUGACCAGUUUGCAGCAUGGCCGGUGAGGCAACCUGGGGGAUUCACAUAUCCACAUUUUACACACUCUAUAGAGCCAAUAGCACCUUGUUCUACCUAGCCACUCAUAACACCUUCAUCGUACAUUGUUCUGACAUGCUGCAUUCCUCGAUUGCAGUCCAUCUGACUGUUGCAUCGGAAAGCACAUGAAUUCAUAACCUGGGGACUGCCGAGAAAGCUUCGCUGGACGCAAUUUUUUUUUUUGCUUUCUUCGGCCGCUGUAACAGGAGGUACCAAUAUAAUCAGGCAACGGAGCCUGAAUACCUCACCCUUGAGCGUGGAGUCGCUCUGAAACUCAGCACAUUGUUUGACUGAUGUGUAUGCAACUUGCACAUAUCCUGCAUAGUGCAUACCAAAUUCGUCAAGCAUCAGUCUGCAAUUUGCAUAUGAACGAUGUGGCGCACGUAUCCAGCUGGGCUCUAAGACCUCCGCCUGUCAGCCACAAACCAAAGACCAUCCAGAAGGCGAUUUCGGCGGUGAUGCAGCGGGAGGAGCACAAGCUCGCCGGAGAGGAGUAGUUGGGACGGGGGAGAGGAACUGCAGCCGCUACAGCCGUCCAUCCAAAGGCACAACAAAUCGGAAGAAGCAGCUACGACGAGCAUGGGGGCGGGGUCGCCGUUGCCGCAUAGACGCCGCGGAGGAGAAGCGGCAACAACUACGGGAGAUGUGGAUGUGGCGCAGAGCCCGGCAGCCGGUUCGACGACGAUGAUGAGUAUGGCUUCCCCCGAGGUUCUUGGAGCCCUUGCCGCUGCUGCCGCCCACCGGCACCUCUCAAGGUUCUUCUAUUCCGCCGCAGCCGCCAUCUGGAGUGCCCCUGCUCCCCUGACCAUCCUGCUCCCUCGUACCCAUACUGUCGCAAGGGGAACGGCAAGGAGGCCGCCCAUACUGUCACAUCCACGUCCGACGCGACCCAACGAUGGGCUGACGUGUUGCAGCGUUCAGGUGAGGCGCUCCUGCAGUGCCGGCUGGGCGUCCGGACCCUUAUUCAAGUCAGGGCGUUCACCAUACGGGGUCCUCGGGGAAGGUUCCUCCCGUGCUGGUCGCCGCACAUACGGCCGGGCUGUGUGCGUGGGUUGGAAACGGCGAGGAGGAUUAGCCGGGUUAGACUUUGGAGUAGCACGUACCGAUAUCGAUUCGUCGUUUGUAGCAACCGAUGUGUUAACUCGACAUAGAUAUCGUGACGGAUACAUGUCUAGCACGUUAGGUUUUGCAGCUGAUUCUAUCUAUCCGUGAGUAAGAGUAGUUAGUAUUUUAUCUUUCUUUUAACUUGGGAAUACUACUGUAGCUGUAGUUUUCCUUUUCUUCUGUGUGUUCGCUUGUUAGAUUUCCUAUAUCAUCACACGUACGUGCAAUGCACAAGCCGAUCUGAACUCAUAAGUAAAAUCUCCUCUCUUUUUCCCAACUUCUUUUUCACGUACCUUUGUACGUGCCAAGUCCACAUAUAAGUUUAGACACGUAACGUAAGAUACUUUAAAUCUCAGCCUUCAAUAUUUAUGGUUAACACACAAUCAAAGGAUAUAAAGGGAUGAUGUAUGGAGAACUGGAACCGGAUCCUCUAACAUCCUCAAGGGAUGUCACGUAAGCUACAGUAACCAUGACAUCCCUCCUUUACAUCCAUAUGGUUAAGCCUAAAAUGAUUAUAAUUAAUUUGCAAAUUACAAAUCUAUUGUAUAUAUUUACAAAUAUUACGUACAAACAAAAUUAUGGUGCAAUAAAAUUAUUUUUUGAUUUAUUUUUGUACAUGCUACAGUAAAUCAUGUACACAUAUUUUUGUACAUGCUACGGUAACCUAACAUCCCUUCUUCGUUUUACACACAUUUCACUGUAGCUUCGUGACAUCCCUUGAGGAUGUUAGAGGAUCCACUUCCUGGAGAACUAUGAAAGCCUCCGUCUUUUAAUAUUAGGUAUAGAUAUAUUUUCAACUAAAACCAAUUUUUUCAAAAGGCAAAAUAAUUUCUGCAUGAUCAAAUAUCGUGAUUAUCUCCAUGAAGAAUGCUUUAGACAGUACAAUAAUGAAAAUAAGCAUUUUUGGCCUUUGAAACAUGUACUAUUGUUGGGACAUCUGAUUGGACCUUUCUAUGUAGAAAAUGAGAAGUGCUAAGUGUACAGAAACCUGCACUUCAUAUUUCUUACAUGCGUGAUUUAUCAUCUACGAUCCUCUUUUAUAUUGCUUACUUGCAUGAUUUGUCUGAUUGCCGGUAGAAAUAUUUAUGUUAGCAUCUCAGUUUGCUAACUUAAUACCUUCCAUCUUAUACAUCAAUAAUGCUUUGAAGACACCGACAAGAAUAACUAAAUUAAAUUGUGCUUGAACAUGUCAAUUGCAAUGACAUGUUCUCACCUUUCAACGAAGGAUCUCAUUUUAAAUCCUAAUUCUGGAUGUCUAGGUGGUUGGCUGUUGAUUUAAUUAGCGUUUUCGUAGUGAAAAUAUGAAGACACAUUUUCUAAACAACUUUAGGAUAUCUUCGAAAGAAUGUGCUAGAUUUUGGUCCUGUUAUAUUUUCUCAAUUCCUAUGUCAUCUCUCACAUGGCUAUGUGGUCUCCCCGGUUUUGUCUUUACAUUAUAUCUAUGUUGUACUACUGCUACCUCCCACGGUACAGAAAGUAUUUUUUAUAUCAGCUUUGCUCUCGUGUGUGCAAGGAUUCCAUUCAGGUACAAAAAACAUCACCCCUCAUGAAGUUACUUCUUUUCAGAGAGAGAAUGAUCAUUGGUUUUUAUAUGGAUUCAGUGCACAUAAAUAAUUAGCUCGCAUUUUAAGUUUGGUUUUAGAAUUAGCUUUCCAGUUCUGUACAUGUUUUCCUCACUGAUGAUGGAUUUCUUCUUCUAAGAUGAAUUAGUAACUUUAGCACCAAAUAUGAAGUUUCCCCUAAAAAAAAGCACCAAAUAUGAAGUUAUUUGGACAAAGGAAAGCUUCCUUCCUCUUUGCUAUUUUCUCUCUUUAGUGUUGCUUUUUUUUAGAACACUCUUUAGUGUUGCUUUGAUGUUCCUUUGUCACUGUUUGAUAUUCUGCCCUGUGUGGCCUCUGUCUUGGUUUACAGCUCCAUAUGGCUACUUAUGUAUACAUAUGUAGGUUUUGUUUGAACUGUACUCAACGUGCAGAUGUUUCCAUAUUCUUGCCUUCAUCUUUUUAACUCGUGAGAUUGUUAGAUAGUUGAAUAUCAUUGGCCUCUGUCGGCAUUCUAUUUUUGCAGUUUGAAAUGAGUAUUGGUCCAUUGAUAUUAAACUUCACAAUAGGUGGUGGCAUCUCCAGGAAAAAGUAGUGGCAGAUAUGCUGGACAUUUCUUUUCUGCUGCAGGAAUGACACUAUUGCCCAAGUCCUCAACACAUUUUUUAGUAACGGAGAGGAUUACUCACCUUUGGUGCUGCAGGCGUUCAAGACCUAGCAUAGCUGGGCCAACCGGCCCUUCAUGUUCAAGACCCGACCCUGAAGAUCCCUGACAGCGCAUGCUACCAGCCGGGCAUCUUCUUCCUGAGUCAUGUCCAGAACCAGACCAGCAGGGGCACCCUGAGCGAGUACUCGAGGCAUGUCGUCAGGUCGGAGGGGUGCAACCAGGCCAGCUACCGUGUGUGUCCAUGGUUCAUACAGUCAAGGUGUUCGCUCAUCUCCCAAGAUGAGCCAGAACGAGCGCGCUACAAGAGGAACCCCCCAUAUUUUUCAUUCCUUGAUAAAUGGUUAUAUUGUUGUAUGUUGGUUAAAGACAGUGUUUUUCUUCUCGAAUUAUGAAACCUCAAACAACAGUAGAUAUAACAUUUUUGUUUGUUUUGCAAUCAAAGCUUACAUCGAAUAAUUUAUUAGAAUUAUGCUCCAUCUUAUUUGGAAAUUAUGGCUAUUUUGUAUAUUUCUACAAGAUACGG